rnacentral:rRNA from 1 species
UACGAAGGGGGCUAGCGUUGCUCGGAAUCACUGGGCGUAAAGCGUACGUAGGCGGAUCUUUAAGUCAGGGGUGAAAUCCUGGAGCUCAACUCCAGAACUGCCUUUGAUACUGAGGAUCUUGAGUCCGGGAGAGGUGAGUGGAACUGCGAGUGUAGAGGUGAAAUUCGUAGAUAUUCGCAAGAACACCAGUGGCGAAGGCGGCUCACUGGCCCGGUACUGACGCUGAGGUGCGAAAGCGUGGGGAGCAAACAGG